GGGUUGUGAGGUUAAGCGACUAAGCGUACACGGUGGAUGCCCUGGCAGUCAGAGGCGAUGAAGGGCGUGCUAAUCUGCGAUAAGCGCCGGUAAGGUGAUAUGAACCGUUAUAACCGGCGAUACCCGAAUGGGGAAACCCAGUGUGAUUCGUCACACUAUCAUUAACUGAAUCCAUAGGUUAAUGAGGCGAACCGGGGGAACUGAAACAUCUAAGUACCCCGAGGAAAAGAAAUCAACCGAGAUUCCCCCAGUAGCGGUGAGCGAACGGGGAGGAGCCCAGAGCCUGAAUCAGCAUGUGUGUUAGUGGAAGCGUCUGGAAAGGCGCGCGAUACAGGGUGACAGCCCCGUACACAAAAGCGCAUGUGCUGUGAGCUCGAUGAGUAGGGCGGGACACGUGGUAUCCUGUCUGAAUAUGGGGGGACCAUCCUCCAAGGCUAAAUACUCCUGACUGACCGAUAGUGAACCAGUACCGUGAGGGAAAGGCGAAAAGAACCCCGGCGAGGGGAGUGAAAAAGAACCUGAAACCGUGUACGUACAAGCAGUGGGAGCACAGGUUUACCUGUGUGACUGCGUACCUUUUGUAUAAUGGGUCAGCGACUUAUAUUCUGUAGCAAGGUUAACCGAAUAGGGGAGCCGGAGGGAAACCGAGUCUUAACCGGGCGUUAAGUUGCAGGGUAUAGACCCGAAACCCGGUGAUCUAGCCAUGGGCAGGUUGAAGGUUGGGUAACACUAACUGGAGGACCGAACCGACUAAUGUUGAAAAAUUAGCGGAUGACCUGUGGCUGGGGGUGAAAGGCCAAUCAAACCGGGAGAUAGCUGGUUCUCCCCGAAAGCUAUUUAGGUAGCGCCUCGUGAAUUCAUCUCCGGGGGUAGAGCACUGUUUCGGCUAGGGGGCCAUCCCGGCUUACCAACCCGAUGCAAACUGCGAAUACCGGAGAAUGUUAUCACGGGAGACACACGGCGGGUGCUAACGUCCGUCGUGAAGAGGGAAACGACCCAGACCGCCAGCUAAGGUCCCAAAGUCAUGGUUAAGUGGGAAACGAUGUGGGAAGGCCCAGACAGCCCUUAUGUUGGCUUAGAAGCAGCCAUCAUUUAAAGAAAGCGUAAUAGCUCACUGGUCGAGUCGGCCUGCGCGGAAGAUGUAACGGGGCUAAACCAUGCACCGAAGCUGCGGCAGCGAACGUAUCACUUAAAGCGAUUCAGCGGGUUACGAUUGACGGAGCGAAGCGACGUCAAAGCGUAUACAAAGUCGAGUCGGUUUAAGGAUACGUUCGUUGGGUAGGGGAGCGUUCUGUAAGCCUGCGAAGGUGGCCUGUGAGGGUUGCUGGAGGUAUCAGAAGUGCGAAUGCUGACAUAAGUAACGAUAAAGCGGGUGAAAAGCCCGCUCGCCGGAAGACCAAGGGUUCCUGUCCAACGUUAAUCGGGGCAGGGUGAGUCGACCCCUAAGGCGAGGCCGAAAGGCGUAGUCGAUGGGAAACGGGUUAAUAUUCCCGUACUUGGUGUUACUGCGAAGGGGGGACGGAGAAGGCUAUGUUGGCCGGGCGACGGUUGUCCCGGUUUAAGCGUGUAGGUGUGUGUUCCAGGUAAAUCCGGUUCACUUUAACACUGAGGCGUGAUGACGAGGCACUACGGUGCUGAAGUAACAAAUGCCCUGCUUCCAGGAAAAGCCUCUAAGCAUCAGGUAACAUCAAAUCGUACCCCAAACCGACACAGGUGGUCAGGUAGAGAAUACCAAGGCGCUUGAGAGAACUCGGGUGAAGGAACUAGGCAAAAUGGUGCCGUAACUUCGGGAGAAGGCACGCUGACACGUAGGUGAAGUGAUUUACUCACGGAGCUGAAGUCAGUCGAAGAUACCAGCUGGCUGCAACUGUUUAUUAAAAACACAGCACUGUGCAAACACGAAAGUGGACGUAUACGGUGUGACGCCUGCCCGGUGCCGGAAGGUUAAUUGAUGGGGUCAGCGCAAGCGAAGCUCCUGAUCGAAGCCCCGGUAAACGGCGGCCGUAACUAUAACGGUCCUAAGGUAGCGAAAUUCCUUGUCGGGUAAGUUCCGACCUGCACGAAUGGCGUAAUGAUGGCCAGGCUGUCUCCACCCGAGACUCAGUGAAAUUGAACUCGCUGUGAAGAUGCAGUGUACCCGCGGCAAGACGGAAAGACCCCGUGAACCUUUACUAUAGCUUGACACUGAACAUUGAGCCUUGAUGUGUAGGAUAGGUGGGAGGCUUUGAAGUGUGGACGCCAGUCUGCAUGGAGCCGACCUUGAAAUACCACCCUUUAAUGUUUGAUGUUCUAACGUGGACCCGUUACCCGGGUUGCGGACAGUGUCUGGUGGGUAGUUUGACUGGGGCGGUCUCCUCCUAAAGAGUAACGGAGGAGCACGAAGGUUGGCUAAUCCUGGUCGGACAUCAGGAGGUUAGUGCAAUGGCAUAAGCCAGCUUGACUGCGAGCGUGACGGCGCGAGCAGGUGCGAAAGCAGGUCAUAGUGAUCCGGUGGUUCUGAAUGGAAGGGCCAUCGCUCAACGGAUAAAAGGUACUCCGGGGAUAACAGGCUGAUACCGCCCAAGAGUUCAUAUCGACGGCGGUGUUUGGCACCUCGAUGUCGGCUCAUCACAUCCUGGGGCUGAAGCAGGUCCCAAGGGUAUGGCUGUUCGCCAUUUAAAGUGGUACGCGAGCUGGGUUUAGAACGUCGUGAGACAGUUCGGUCCCUAUCUGCCGUGGGCGCUGGAGAACUGAGGGGGGCUGCUCCUAGUACGAGAGGACCGGAGUGGACGCAUCACUGGUGUUCGGGUUGUCAUGCCAAUGGCACUGCCCGGUAGCUAAAUGCGGAAGAGAUAAGUGCUGAAAGCAUCUAAGCACGAAACUUGCCCCGAGAUGAGUUCUCCCUGAGACUUAGAGUCUCCUGAAGGAACGUUGAAGACGACGACGUUGAUAGGCCGGGUGUGUAAGCGCAGCGAUGCGUUGAGCUAACCGGUACUAAUGAACCGUGAGGCUUAACCUUACAACGCCGAAG
rnacentral:rRNA from 1 species